rnacentral:lncRNA from 1 species
GGCUUGGGGCGUUGCCCUAUGUGACUGAUGGCACAGAAUUAUGGAGCUGAGGCCUCAUGUCAGGUGCCUGGUGUCUGGGAGGAUGGCAAACACCUUCCAUUUCUUGCAGGAACACCUUCUGGGUCUCUAGGGUUUAAACCUAGCUCAACCAGAAAACAGGCUGGCUUUCACGGGACCCACAGCUGGGGCUCACCGCAACAGGAGGAACUGUGUUAAAGGGUCUCAGGUUUAGGAAAGUUGAAAACCACUGAGCUAAGAGGCAAAGGACUGGACCAAGCUGGAGAGCACAGGUCUUCCUUAUUUUGAGAACCAGCAAAGUCGGUGAUAAAAAGUGUAGAUUCCCAGACAGGAGGCAGGUAGAACAGGAGGCAGCAGAGAGCUGGGAUCAAGUGAGGGGCAUCCUGGCUGGUGCCUAGGGUGUUGAGUCAUGGCUGCGGAGGCAGGAAAGGGGGCGGGGCAUCAAGCACAGGCUUGUAACUUUCCAGGUGGUGAGGGAUGCUUGUGAUUGACAGGUAUUCUGUGAGAAGGGAUGGGAAGCUCUGGUUUGGGCUGGCUGUGUGGAAGUGGGAGGGGAGUCUAAUGACAAGUGUUCAAGUGAUCAGGAUCGGGCUGGAAAGGGUGCGGAUUCAGAGGAGCAAAGCCAUCCAUACAAGCCUGCCUGGGUUGCAGCUGGCUGGGGCAGGGGAAGGGAAGUCACCUUUGCUCUGAUGUGUCAGAUUCUGUGUGAGAAUUCAUUUCCCAAGUGAUCGUUCCCAAAAGGAGAUUUGCUUAUAGCAGUUAGGGCGCCCAUCAUUGACCUAUGAGGAACAGAGCUGUGAGGUACAGAGGCUCAGGAGACUGGAGACACAGCCCAAGCAGUAAAGUUCUUUCCUUGUAAGCACGAGGACUUGACUCAACCCCCUAGAACCCACAUUUAAAAAAGAAAAGAAAAGAAAAGAAAAGAAAAGAAAAGAAAAGAAAAGAAAAGAAAAGAAAAGAAAGAAAAAGAAAGAAAGAAAAAUGCAGCCAGACAUGGUGAUGCACGCCUUUAGUCCCAGCAUUGGGAGGCAGAGCAGGCAGAGCUCUGAGUUCGAGGCCAGCCUGGUGAGUUCCAGAACAGCCAGGGCUACACAGAGAAACCCCAUCUCAAACAAAACAAAAAACAAAACAAACAACAAAAAGGAAAUACCCUGGAUGGUGGUGACACUUGUAACCAUAGUACCAGAAAAACAGAGAACAAUUCUUAGGGCUCACUGGCCAGCAACCCUUCCUCCCCUAUUUGCUGAAUUCUAGGACAGUGAGAAACUCUGACACACAAAACAAAAACCCAGCAAGACAGAGAAGGCAAACAACAUCUCAAGGAGGACACCGAGGUUGUUAUCCAGCCUCCACAGGUAGGCUCUUCUGGGGCCCGUGUGAUGCUUAAAAUAGACCGUCAACAAGAUUUAAAAUUACCGUGGAAGCUAACCUUCGGGAGGCUGUUCUUUAGACAGAAACUGGAACUGAAUCUCAGGAUCUACCGUUAGCCUGUUUCUGCUGCUGCAGAAGUUUCCAAGCCGUGUAAUUAUGAAAUAGAGAGACAGCGUUCUCACGCUCCAGAGGUAGGACUGUCCAAGACCCAGG